rnacentral:rRNA from 1 species
AUUGAGCGCUGGCGGCAGGCCUAACACAUGCAAGUCGAACGGUAACAGGAAACAGCUUGCUGUUUCGCUGACGAGUGGCGGACGGGUGAGUAAUGUCUGGGAAACUGCCUGAUGGAGGGGGAUAACUACUGGAAACGGUAGCUAAUACCGCAUAACGUCGCAAGACCAAAGAGGGGGACCUUCGGGCCUCUUGCCAUCGGAUGUGCCCAGAUGGGAUUAGCUAGUAGGUGGGGUAACGGCUCACCUAGGCGACGAUCCCUAGCUGGUCUGAGAGGAUGACCAGCCACACUGGAACUGAGACACGGUCCAGACUCCUACGGGAGGCAGCAGUGGGGAAUAUUGCACAAUGGGCGCAAGCCUGAUGCAGCCAUGCCGCGUGUAUGAAGAAGGCCUUCGGGUUGUAAAGUACUUUCAGCGGGGAUGAAGGGAGUAAAGUUAAUACCUUUGCUCAUUGACGUUACCCGCAGAAGAAGCACCGGCUAACUCCGUG